GGUAUUAAGGAGUUGACGUUUAAGUUCUCGGGUUCUGCGGCAGGCUUGUUUGGAGAUAGCUUUCUUUUCCUUGGGUGGAUCCGUUGAGCGUGGACUCGAUCGAGGGGCAUAACCAAGUUUCAGGUAAGGGCACAGCGAGGGGCAGACCGACGAGGGGCAGGA